UCUCCGUCCCCGCAGAGCCCAUCCCUCCCGCCGCCACCUCUCAGCAGCCUCCCCUCCUCUUGCUCCUUGCUCGGGAGGCCGGGUCCCGCUGCCGCUCGCUCGGGGACGCCUCGUCGUCGCGGAUCUGCCGCCCGCGCCCCGCGCGGGCCUUCGCCGCCUGUCCUCGAGAGCAGGGGAGGCCGGAGCUCGCCCGCGGCGGCGCUGCUCACCCGCGCCGGCCGCGGCGCGGUCUCCAGUCGCCGCGCCGUCCACGUGCCGCCGGCCCCCAUCCCCGGCCGCCGUCCGCGACGCCGCGACGUCCGCUCACCGCCACUGCGCCGUCCUCGGCAUCACUGUUCCGCGCCGUCCGCGCCGCCGCUUCGUCCCCGGCGUCGGCGUCGUCGCUUCCUCCUCCGCGCCAUCCUCAAGGCACCAGCGGCGCCGCAACUUCGCAAAGGAGGAAGCCUGUGCCCCAGCCCCGAUUUGAUGGCCAACAGCAACCUCCCGCGCCUGAUCAUCAAGGACACAGGAAGUUCACUCAAUUCUUUGCUUGCGUGGGAUGCACAGAUCAGGGAGGUGCUUCUCUAGCAGCUUAGCAUUUCGAUCUUUUGGCAUUUGUUUCAGUCUUUCAGUCUGUGAGUAUAGAUCAUGAGUAUAACAUGGCAUUCGUUACCCAAUCAUCCUACAAGCCUCCACCAGUCCGCCCCUUCCGUUUUUUAUCUCCAACCCGUCAGGUAAUUAUUUCAUAAUUCACAGCUAUACUCACUCUUUUAAUCUUGAAAAUAUAUCACUCAAAUUGUGAAUUGUAAAAGUUCAAUUCUCUUAUGAUUGAAUAUCAAUGCUGACAUGGAUGAUUUUACAGAUGAUUAGAUAAUAUCAAUUGUACUAAUUUGUACCAUCAUAAAACCUGCAAGGAUCUGCACCGUCAGAUACUACACCUAUUUGAUGCUUUUUUCUUUCUCAAUUAUUUUGCGCUGCCUAAUUUAUCCCUUUGUGUGAAACUUCCAUGGUGCAUGUGUUCAGGAGUGGACUUUUUAUUUGGCUUGAUUAUUUCUGAUAUCAAACUUUCGGAUGGUCGGUAGAUAUCAUUAACAUCCUUGCUAGAUUUAUGACUACUCGAGUAGUCAGAUAAUAAUUGGGCACAUCUCUAGGCGACCAUACUAACCUCUUACGCUGGGAUGAGAUAUUGGCGAGUGAGAUGGUUGCUCUAUGCCGCUGUACUCCAAGGAUAUAGUGUGUAAGUCUACACCAGGAAUCUGGCAUGGUCAUGAUAACCUUUUAGAGUUAUUCAUGAUAUCUGAACUGCCGCAUGUUGCAACAUAAUGUUCUAUAUUGAUGUCAGCCUAAUGUCACAAGAUGAUGAUAACAUGUAAGCAUGUUUGUAGUGGUUAUACCUUCUAAUAAUUUAAUUAUCUCAUAUAGUGGUUUAUAGUUCCUAAUAACUUAAUUACCUCACGUGUAAAGCUCUGAAAUUUCUAAUCUCUGAACCUAGAAGAGAACAAGAUCAGAUUUUGCAGUAAAUGUGAAUCCCUGAACCUAGCAGAACACUAGAUGUCUUAUGGAGUGAUCAAUUUUUCUGGCUUUUGCUUCCAGCUUUAGUGAUCAUAUUAGAGCCUGUUACCUUUGCAUUUUCCUCAUUGAUUCAACCUUCCAGGUUCCAGCAUAGUAUCAGAUAUCACCUACCUAUGACUAUGGAUAAAAGUUUCAACUAGCUGUGCAAAUUUUCAUGAAAACAAACUUAUGUAAUUUAUGAUUUUUGUUGCCCAUAGCAAAGUUUUCUGCGUUGAAGGAUUUCUGGUCUCAUAUCUGUCUAUACUAUAUUUCCAAGACCACCUUCAAAAAUUUUGCAUGUACAAGUAUAAUACUUUUAACAUUAAAACUUUUAGCACUAUCAUGACAUCUUGCCAUUCAAAGCUUAAAAAGGCAUAUUUAAGGUAUGUUGCAUAGCUAAGCGUAUAUAGUUCACAUCUUUCUUGUGCCACGUAUUGUUGCAACUAUUCGCCAUAUUUUCAGAAUCUACACGGUACAUUGUUGUCCUAGCUUUACCACUUUCUGUAGAUUGCAUAGCUAACUUGGCCAUAUUCUUUGUAGGCAGAUAUAUCUGCAUUCACCACCACCAUUGCCUAGAUUGGCAGGAGGAUGCUGAAACCACGUGACCAGCGAUCAAGUUGAAUGCGGCGACCACCAUGGUCUUGCGCACCCUAAGUCAGCUGUUCUUUCUAUGUUUCCACAUUAGAAGUAGGUGCAUGAAAAUGGUUUCAGUUUUUGUAACUUAAUCGAAUAAUCUAUAAUUUUUAAUAUCUCAUGAUCAAUAUCUAUUGCAUAUAUGCCUAAUUGGCUUAUUCGUAUCCGCUUCACAUCUCCUUUAGUAGUGGCUGUAAUUGACCAUGGUGCUUAAUUUAUUUGCAAUCAUUUUUGGUGUUUAUUAUAUAUAUGCUAUACUUUGUUGUAUUGGCAGUAUCCGCCUGUAUGCAUGGCCCCAAUGCUUAGUGCUACAAGUCUUAAGACCUUAUAUUUUUAUUAAACUUUUGCAGAUAGCAACAGUGGAUGUAUUUUUAGAGGGGGGCUGAGUUGGAGACGACCGUGGCCCAAGACUUGUCUCAAUUAUAUCGAGAAGAUAGCAGUUACUUUCAAAUGCCUAACUGCUAGACCAUGCUGAGAAGAAUCCUAUUAAUGUGGUGCCUUCAACACCUAGAGUUUGGAUAUCGCCAAGAUUUGUAGAGCACCACUGAGGUGAUUGAAAAAAGAAAGAAACAUUGGGGGCAAGGUAAAUCACAUAAUCAAGCUAACUGUGAUUUUCUGGUGCUCUUCUUUGUUUUCUUCUUUUCUAUUUCGACCAUUGUCUUGUAGCAGCAUGAAGAUCAAGAUCGACGGCAAACUGUAAGAUAGAAGAAUCACAAGAUGAUGUCAUAUUAAUUAGUUAUCUACACAAGGAUUGCCUAUUUAAAAGGUCUUAAAAUAGGUUAUCUUUGCCUGUGUGCUUAUUCUUAGAAAUACUGCUCAUUUUUCAUGGAUAAAUUCCACUUCUUCUGUAAUGUCGAAUUGAAAAUAACUUCAUGUGUAUGUCAGCUUGUUGCUUGUCCAAGGAGCUUGUGACAUGCAGCUACUACUACUUGAUUCAAUAACACAAUGCUAUAUGCUUCCUUUUUCCAUUUAAGCUACUGAAGAUGGCAUUGUUGCCUCUGUUUCAGGGCCUCGAUCACUCUGCAUUGAAUGGAAACAGAGCUGUUUAUUUUCCCUUAUCAUAACUAUAUAGAGUCUCCAUUUCUUGAAACAAUAGUAGUUAGUUUAUUUGGCCUUAAAUAACUGGAGUUAUUUUGAAGCAUGGUAGGAUAGUAAAAGUUGUUAUUACAGCUUGCCUGCACAGUAUUAACAAUGUUCCCCUGCUGCAUGUAUGGUUAAUAGAGUGAGCCACAUGAUCAACUAGACAUUUUUGCUAUGAUAUAAAUAAAAAAAUUAAUUUUUAGCUGUCGUUUGAUGCAAUUCAACUAUUUUUAAAUAGCAUCUCGACUAGCCAUCUUCUGCAGUAAUUUGAUGGGGUUUAUUUCUGUCAUUCUCAUGGACAUGUGGGAUGGUAAACUAUUUCAUCAACUACUAUGGGUGGACGCGAGAGUUCCCAGAAAGUGGUUGGUCAUAGAUCUACUGAAGUGGUUAUGGAAUGAGAGCAAUGAUAACAUUUCUGAAGAUAUAGCUGGAGCUCUAAAGACUAUAUGUAACACCCGCGUGGAGAAAUAUAUCUAGAUAAAUUAAUCGCAUUCCAUGGCUGAUCUGGGCAAGAAAUAUGGAUGGAUUUGUACAUUUUUUAAGUCUUGCAUGCUGGUGUUGGUCAUAUUUUAAAUUCUCAUAUCAAUCAAUAAUCAACAAUAAUGGAUUGAGACAAGUUCUUAUGCACCA